rnacentral:rRNA from 1 species
UACGUAGGGUGCAAGCGUUGUCCGGAAUUAUUGGGCGUAAAGAGCUCGUAGGCGGCCUGUUGCGUCUGCUGUGAAAACUGGAGGCUCAACCUCCAGCCUGCAGUGGGUACGGGCAAACUAGAGUGCGGUAGGGGAGAUUGGAAUUCCUGGUGUAGCGGUGGAAUGCGCAGAUAUCAGGAGGAACACCGAUGGCGAAGGCAGAUCUCUGGGCCGUAACUGACGCUGAGGAGCGAAAGCAUGGGGAGCGAACAGG